ACAUAAACUAAUAUUGGGACGAGUAAUUAUAAAUCCAUUCAGAGAGUCAAUGGCUGGUGAAAAUUGACAUGGCGCUUUAUAAUGAAUAUCACCCAUAGUUGUUCUUGUGAACUCACAGUAGCGAGAACCGGUUAAAUACCGUUAUCAUGAAUGAAGCACUCCUAUGAGUGAAAUUUGGGUGGUACCACGGUUUAUUCGUCCCAUAG
rnacentral:ncRNA from 1 species